ensembl:misc_RNA Metazoa_SRP Metazoan signal recognition particle RNA
GCUGGGCGUGGUGGUGCAUGCCUGUAAUCCCUGCUACUUGGGAGGCUGAGGCAUGAGAAUCACUUGAACCCAGGAGACGGAGGUUGCAGUGAGCCGAGAUCGUGCCACUGCACUCCAGCCUGGGUGACAGAGUGAGACUCUGUCUCAA